rnacentral:rRNA from 1 species
UUUGAUCCUGGCUCAGGAUGAACGCUGACAGAAUGCUUAACACAUGCAAGUCUACUUGAUCCUUCGGGUGAAGGUGGCGGACGGGUGAGUAACGCGUAAAGAACUUGCCUUACAGACUGGGACAACAUUUGGAAACGAAUGCUAAUACCGGAUAUUAUGACUGAGUCGCAUGAUUUGGUUAUGAAAGCUAUAUGCGCUGUGAGAGAGCUUUGCGUCCCAUUAGUUAGUUGGUGAGGUAACGGCUCACCAAGACGAUGAUGGGUAGCCGGCCUGAGAGGGUGAACGGCCACAAGGGGACUGAGACACGGCCCUUACUCCUACGGGAGGCAGCAGUGGGGAAUAUUGGACAAUGGACCAAAAGUCUGAUCCAGCAAUUCUGUGUGCACGAUGAAGUUUUUCGGAAUGUAAAGUGCUUUCAGUUGGGAAGAAGUCAGUGACGGUACCAACAGAAGAAGCGACGGCUAAAUACGUGCCAGCAGCCGCGGUAAUACGUAUGUCGCAAGCGUUAUCCGGAUUUAUUGGGCGUAAAGCGCGUCUAGGCGGUUUAGUAAGUCUGAUGUGAAAAUGCGGGGCUCAACCCCGUAUUGCGUUGGAAACUGCUAAACUAGAGUACUGGAGAGGUAGGCGGAACUACAAGUGUAGAGGUGAAAUUCGUAGAUAUUUGUAGGAAUGCCGAUGGGGAAGCCAGCCUACUGGACAGAUACUGACGCUAAAGCGCGAAAGCGUGGGGUAGCAAACAGGAUUAGAUACCCUGGUAGUCCACGCCGUAAACGAUGAUUACUAGGUGUUGGGGGUCGAACCUCAGCGCCCAAGCUAACGCGAUAAGUAAUCCGCCUGGGGAGUACGUACGCAAGUAUGAAACUCAAAGGAAUUGACGGGGACCCGCACAAGCGGUGGAGCAUGUGGUUUAAUUCGACGCAACGCGAGGAACCUUACCAGCGUUUGACAUCCCAAGAAGUUAACAGAGAUGUUUUCGUGCCUCUUCGGAGGAACUUGGUGACAGGUGGUGCAUGGCUGUCGUCAGCUCGUGUCGUGAGAUGUUGGGUUAAGUCCCGCAACGAGCGCAACCCCUUUCGUAUGUUACCAUCAUUAAGUUGGGGACUCAUGCGAGACUGCCUGCGAUGAGCAGGAGGAAGGUGGGGAUGACGUCAAGUCAUCAUGCCCCUUAUACGCUGGGCUACACACGUGCUACAAUGGGUAGUACAGAGAGCUGCAAACCUGCGAGGGUAAGCUAAUCUCAUAAAACUAUUCUUAGUUCGGAUUGUACUCUGCAACUCGAGUACAUGAAGUUGGAAUCGCUAGUAAUCGCAAAUCAGCUAUGUUGCGGUGAAUACGUUCUCGGGUCUUGUACACACCGCCCGUCACACCACGAGAGUUGGUUGCACCUGAAGUAACAGGCCUAACCGUAAGGAGGGAUGUUCCGAGGGUGUGAUUAGCGAUUGGGGUGAAGUCGUAACAAGGU